CCACACUGGGACUGAGACACGGCCCAGACUCCUACGGGAGGCAGCAGUGGGGAAUAUUGGACAAUGGGCGCAAGCCUGAUCCAGCAAUGCCGCGUGGGUGAAGAAGGCCUGCGGGUUGUAAAGCCCUUUCGUCCGGGAAGAAAAGCCGAGGGCUAAUACCCAUCGGUCUUGACGUUACCGGAAGAAGAAGCACCGGCUAACUCCGUGCCAGCAGCCGCGGUAA
rnacentral:rRNA from 1 species